GGGCGAAAGCCUGACGCAGCGACGCCGCGUGGGGAUGAAGUUUUCGGAUUGUAAACCCCUUCAUGAGGAAAGAUAAAGUGGGUAACCACUUAGACGGUACCUCAAGAAGAAGCCACGGCUAACUUCGUGCCAGCAGCCGCGGUAAUACGAAGGUGGCAAGCGUUGUUCGGAUUUACUGGGGCUAAAGAGCACGUAGGCGGUUGGGAAAGCCUCUUGGGAAAUCUCCCGGCUUAACCGGGAAAGGUCGAGAGGAACUAUUCAGCUAGAGGGCGGGAGAGGAGCGCGGAAUUCCCAGUGUAGCGGUGAAAUGCGUAGAUACUGGGAGGAACACCAGUGGCGAAGGCGGCUACCUGGACCGGAUCUGACGCUGAUGCGCGAAAGCGUGGGUAGCAAACAGGAUUAGAUACCCUGGUAGUCCACGCUGUAAACGAUGGGUGCUCGGUGUCGCGGGUAUCGACCCCUGCGGUGCCUUAGCUAACGCGUUAAGCACCCCGCCUGGGGAGUACGGUCGCAAGGCUG
rnacentral:rRNA from 1 species